CUUGGUCAUUUAGAGGAAGUAAAAGUCGUAACAAGGUCUCCGUUGGUGAACCAGCGGAGGGAUCAUUACCGAGUUUACAACUCCCAAACCCCUGUGAACAUACCAAUUGUUGCCUCGGCGGAUCAGCCCGCUCCCGGUAAAACGGGACGGCCCGCCAGAGGACCCCUAAACUCUGUUUCUAUAUGUAACUUCUGAGUAAAACCAUAAAUAAAUCAAAACUUUCAACAACGGAUCUCUUGGUUCUGGCAUCGAUGAAGAACGCAGCAAAAUGCGAUAAGUAAUGUGAAUUGCAGAAUUCAGUGAAUCAUCGAAUCUUUGAACGCACAUUGCGCCCGCCAGUAUUCUGGCGGGCAUGCCUGUUCGAGCGUCAUUUCAACCCUCAAGCCCCCGGGUUUGGUGUUGGGGAUCGGCGAGCCCUUGCGGCAAGCCGGCCCCGAAAUCUAGUGGCGGUCUCGCUGCAGCCUCCAUUGCGUAGUAGCUAACACCUCGCAACUGGAACGCGGCGCGGCCAAGCCGUUAAACCCCCAACUUCUGAAUGUUGACCUCGGAUCAGGUAGGAAUACCCGCUGAACUUAAGCAUAUCAAUAA
rnacentral:rRNA from 1 species